ensembl:ncRNA C14F11.9 ncRNA
UGGGAGAAGAGGAGGAGAGAAGAGGUCCCAACGAAAAAAAGAAAGUUUUCUGGGCCUUUUGCCCGCGCGGUGACGGAAGAAGCCAAGAGGAAGAGCGCGCGGCAAAAGGAUGCGAAACAUUUGAAAUUAGAUAAUGGACUUUGUGUAAGACAAGCAAAGUG